CAGGCCUAACACAUGCAAGUCGAGCGGUAGCACAGAGAGCUUGCUCUCGGGUGACGAGCGGCGGACGGGUGAGUAAUGUCUGGGAAACUGCCUGAUGGAGGGGGAUAACUACUGGAAACGGUAGCUAAUACCGCAUAACGUCGCAAGACCAAAGUGGGGGACCUUCGGGCCUCAUGCCAUCAGAUGUGCCCAGAUGGGAUUAGCUAGUAGGUGGGGUAAUGGCUCACCUAGGCGACGAUCCCUAGCUGGUCUGAGAGGAUGACCAGCCACACUGGAACUGAGACACGGUCCAGACUCCUACGGGAGGCAGCAGUGGGGAAUAUUGCACAAUGGGCGCAAGCCUGAUGCAGCCAUGCCGCGUGUAUGAAGAAGGCCUUCGGGUUGUAAAGUACUUUCAGCGAGGAGGAAGGCGUUAAGGUUAAUAACCUUAGCGAUUGACGUUACUCGCAGAAGAAGCACCGGCUAACUCCGUGCCAGCAGCCGCGGUAAUACGGAGGGUGCAAGCGUUAAUCGGAAUUACUGGGCGUAAAGCGCACGCAGGCGGUCUGUCAAGUCGGAUGUGAAAUCCCCGGGCUCAACCUGGGAACUGCAUUCGAAACUGGCAGGCUAGAGUCUUGUAGAGGGGGGUAGAAUUCCAGGUGUAGCGGUGAAAUGCGUAGAGAUCUGGAGGAAUACCGGUGGCGAAGGCGGCCCCCUGGACAAAGACUGAC
rnacentral:rRNA from 1 species